CCGCCGGCGACCGGCGCACGGGUGAGUAACACGUAUGCAACCUGGCCGUGACAGAUGGAUAACCGGGAGAAAUCCCGCCUAAUACAGCAUGACGCCGGGAAGGGACAUCCCUUUCCGGCCAAAGGGGCGACCCCGGUCACGGAUGGGCAUGCGGCGCAUUAGGUAGUUGGUGGGGCAACGGCCCACCAAGCCGACGAUGCGUAGGGGUUCUGAGAGGAAGGUCCCCCACAUUGGAACUGAGACACGGUCCAAACUCCUACGGAAGGCAGCAG
rnacentral:rRNA from 1 species